UACGUAGGGUGCAAGCGUUAAUCGGAAUUACUGGGCGUAAAGCGUGCGCAGGCGGUUUUGUAAGUCUGUCGUGAAAUCCCCGGGCUCAACCUUUGAAAGCCGAUGGAUACUGUGAGGCUAGAGUCCGGAAGAGGCGAGUGGAAUUCCUGGUGUAGCGGUGGAAUGCGCAGAUAUCAGGAGGAACACCAAUAGCGAAGGCAGCUCGCUGGGACGGUACUGACGCUAAGGCGCGAAAGCGUGGGGAGCGAACAGG
rnacentral:rRNA from 1 species